GUUGACCUCGGAUCAGGUAGGAU
rnacentral:rRNA from 2 species